UCGUAGGGCUUCUGUCCUGUCGAGAUAGCGUCCUUGCCUAUUUUUUGGAGUACCUUUUGUUUCCUCGGCAGGCUUGCCUGCCACUGGGGACCCUUUAAACUCUUUGUAAAUACAGUAUCUGUCUGAAAAACAAACAAAAAAUCA
rnacentral:misc_RNA from 1 species